GGUGCCGUGGCGCAAUGGUAGCGUGUGCGCCUCCUAUACAAGAUAGGACGCGAGCGUGAGGUUCUGGGUUCGAGUCCCAGCGGUAUCG
rnacentral:tRNA from 2 species